GUGCUCACUUCGGAAGCACAUAUACUAAAAUUGGAAUGAUACAGAGAAGAUUAGCAUGGCCCCUGUGCAAGGAUGACAUGCAAAUUCAUGACGCAUUCUAUAUUUUU
ensembl:snRNA U6 U6 spliceosomal RNA